rnacentral:rRNA from 1 species
GCGGGGAUAUCUGCCAGACCUUCGCGCUAUAGGGGGCGCCCGAUGGCAGAUUAGCUUAGUUGGUGGGGGUAAAGGCCUACCAAGGCGACGAUCUGUAGCUGGUCUGAGAGGACGACCAGCCACACUGGGACUGAGACACGGCCCAGACUCCUACGGGAGGCAGCAGUGGGGAAUUUUGGACAAUGGGGGAAACCCUGAUCCAGCACAUGCCGCGUGUGUGAAGAAGGCCUUCGGGUUGUAAAGCACUUUUGUCCGGAAAGAACACUUCUGCCCUCAAUACGGCGGGAGGAUGACGGUACCGGAAGCAAAUAAGCACCGG